CAGUAGCCGCGGGAAUACGAAGGGGGCUAGCGUUGUUCGGAAUCACUGGGCGUAAAGGGCUCGCAGGCGGUUUCUUAAGUCUGAUGUGAAGGCCCCCGGCUCAACCGGGGAGGGUCAUUGGAAACUGGGAAACUUGGGUGCAGAAGAGGAGAGUGGAAUUCCACGUGUAGCGGUGAAAUGCGUAGAGAUGUGGAGGAACACCAGUGGCGAAGGCGACUCUCUGGUCUGUAACUGACGCUGAGGAGCGAAAGCGUGGGGAGCGAACAGGAUUAGAUACCCCAGUAGUCCCUGUCUCUUAUAC
rnacentral:rRNA from 1 species